ensembl:lncRNA
UCAGCGGCUUCGCGGACGAGGAUCAGUCAACUGCAGAAGCCGGACCAAGCUGAAGAUGCUGUAUUCAGAGGCCUGGUGUUCAAGGCCAGGUGUGGCAAGCUGGACGAGGCUUUGUCAUUUACCAAGGUGUUCGCCGCUUUGCUGCCUCACAGAGGCUGUGCUUUUCAAUUCAGAGCUUCCAGUGGACUGUGACAAGUGCUGCAAACCCAUUUGUGCCUCCUGCACUUGUGUGUAGCCUCACAUGAGAUAAACACCCCCUCCUCUCUGCUGGUUAUAAAUUGGAUCUUUGUGUCAUUGUUAAGUGAGAAGGUCUUCCUAUAAUGCCCUUUGAUGCUGAUUGCUGAGUCUGUACCACUAAGAAUUAAGAAGGAAUGCUCAUCAAUGCUUAUUUGAAUAGAAUAAAAGAAACAUGAUAGCAGAUCAUCAAGACUUCUGGCUAAUUCUCUCUCUCUCUCUAGGACAAGCAUCCAUACAUCAUCUGGUAACUUCAGGCACUAGGGAGAGUUCUUAACAAAAGGGAAAGGAAGGGAGAAAGAGAUGUUAGGUUGUUCAUGUGAAGAGGUACUUGGGGUACUGAGAAUCUCAACCUGGGGAGAAUAGCAUGGGGUACAGCCAUCCAGUUGAGUGAGGUGUAUCCUGCAGGUUCUUCCAGGCCAUUAGAAGAAGUUUUGAAUGUAUUCAGAACCUAACAGGAAGUUACUGAAAGAGUUUAGAUAGAAGAAUGGUAUUACCAAUUAACUCUGUUUUCGAAAGAUUCUUCUGAGUGUGUCAAGAAAAAUGAAUGAAGAGGAUGACAAAGAUAAAAGCUAAAAGACAAGAUGCUCAAAGAAAGUUAAGGGUCCCUGGCGCAGGGUCAAAGAUUCUGCUCAUGAGUAUUUGUGGACAUCUCUCAAAUAGCAUCUUCAAACCAGGACACAAAAAUGAGGUUUCUAUUUCUAGAUUUUCUUUCCCCUCCGUUACCGCAGAGGAAUUUCUAUUAGCAGACAGCAAAGUCUCCAGAAAAAUCAGAAAGUUAGAAUGAUGGUGGUACAAGUAUAUCUCUCUUCAAAAAAAUUUAUUUGCUUAUUUUUGGCUAUGCUGGGUCUUUGAGGCUGCGUGAACUUUCUCUAGUUGCGGCGAGUGAGGGCCACUCUUCAUUGUGGUGUUCGAGCUUCUCACUGAGGUGGCUUCUCUUGCUGCGGAGACAGACUCUAGGCACGUGCGCUCAGUAGUUCCAGCUUGCAGGUGUAGUUACUCUGGGACAUAUGAGAUCUUCCCGGACCAGGGAUAAAACCCUUGUCCUCUGCAUUGGCAGGUAGACUCUUAACCACUGGACCACCAAGGGAAUCCAAGUAUGUCUCUUCUUAUAUUUCUCAAGGCUUGGUGUCCCACUGUAACUUGGGACGUAACUUGGGAUGUCAUCUAGAUUCCCAGUUCCAGUAUCUUGCUAUUUUGUGAACUGUUGUGUCUUUUUAUUUAUAAAGGAAGAAAAAUUUCCUUCUACCCUCCUAAAUUCUUUAGCUCAUUUAAUAAUUAAGUUUACAUAAGACAUAUUAAUAGGAGAAAAGCAGGCUUAAUUUCUUGUGUUCGAGACACUCAUAAAACUCUUGAGACUCAAGGGCAAGUCAGGCAAUUAGUGUUUAUAUGCCAUCCUGAGCUAAGGAAUGGGAUGGGGAAUGGGGCUUCAAAGGGGAGGAAGAUAAUUCACCAGUUGAUAAGAUGAGCAAAUGUUUGGUAAUUAGAUGUUUGCCCUACCACACAGGUAAGUCUUUCAAAUGAAAAUGUUAUCUGACCAUAUGCAGGAGACAUAAGAGAUGUGGGUUCCAUCUCUGGGCUGAGAAGAUCCCCUGGAGGAGGAAAUGACAACCCACUCUAGUAUUCUUGCCUGGGAAAUCCCAUGGACAGAGGAGCCUGGCAGGCUACAGAGUUAGACAUGAGCUAGCUGCACAGAGUUAGACAUGACUGAACAUCUGAGCAC